GGGUUGUGAGGUUAAGCGACUAAGCGUACACGGUGGAUGCCCUGGCAGUCAGAGGCGAUGAAGGACGUGCUAAUCUGCGAUAAGCGUCGGUAAGGUGAUAUGAACCGUUAUAACCGGCGAUUUCCGAAUGGGGAAACCCAGUGUGUUUCGACACACUAUCAUUAACUGAAUCCAUAGGUUAAUGAGGCGAACCGGGGGAACUGAAACAUCUAAGUACCCCGAGGAAAAGAAAUCAACCGAGAUUCCCCCAGUAGCGGCGAGCGAACGGGGAGCAGCCCAGAGCCUGAAUCAGUGUGUGUGUUAGUGGAAGCGUCUGGAAAGGCGCGCGAUACAGGGUGACAGCCCCGUACACAAAAAUGCACAUACUGUGAGCUCGAUGAGUAGGGCGGGACACGUGGUAUCCUGUCUGAAUAUGGGGGGACCAUCCUCCAAGGCUAAAUACUCCUGACUGACCGAUAGUGAACCAGUACCGUGAGGGAAAGGCGAAAAGAACCCCGGCGAGGGGAGUGAAAAAGAACCUGAAACCGUGUACGUACAAGCAGUGGGAGCACGCUUCGGCGUGUGACUGCGUACCUUUUGUAUAAUGGGUCAGCGACUUAUAUUCUGUAGCAAGGUUAACCGAAUAGGGGAGCCGAAGGGAAACCGAGUCUUAACUGGGCGUUAAGUUGCAGGGUAUAGACCCGAAACCCGGUGAUCUAGCCAUGGGCAGGUUGAAGGUUGGGUAACACUAACUGGAGGACCGAACCGACUAAUGUUGAAAAAUUAGCGGAUGACUUGUGGCUGGGGGUGAAAGGCCAAUCAAACCGGGAGAUAGCUGGUUCUCCCCGAAAGCUAUUUAGGUAGCGCCUCGUGAAUUCAUCUCCGGGGGUAGAGCACUGUUUCGGCAAGGGGGUCAUCCCGACUUACCAACCCGAUGCAAACUGCGAAUACCGGAGAAUGUUAUCACGGGAGACACACGGCGGGUGCUAACGUCCGUCGUGAAGAGGGAAACAACCCAGACCGCCAGCUAAGGUCCCAAAGUCAUGGUUAAGUGGGAAACGAUGUGGGAAGGCCCAGACAGCCAGGAUGUUGGCUUAGAAGCAGCCAUCAUUUAAAGAAAGCGUAAUAGCUCACUGGUCGAGUCGGCCUGCGCGGAAGAUGUAACGGGGCUAAACCAUGCACCGAAGCUGCGGCAGCGACACUAUGUGUUGUUGGGUAGGGGAGCGUUCUGUAAGCCUGUGAAGGUGUGCUGUGAGGCAUGCUGGAGGUAUCAGAAGUGCGAAUGCUGACAUAAGUAACGAUAAAGCGGGUGAAAAGCCCGCUCGCCGGAAGACCAAGGGUUCCUGUCCAACGUUAAUCGGGGCAGGGUGAGUCGACCCCUAAGGCGAGGCCGAAAGGCGUAGUCGAUGGGAAACAGGUUAAUAUUCCUGUACUUGGUGUUACUGCGAAGGGGGGACGGAGAAGGCUAUGUUGGCCGGGCGACGGUUGUCCCGGUUUAAGCGUGUAGGCUGGUUUUCCAGGCAAAUCCGGAAAAUCAAGGCUGAGGCGUGAUGACGAGGCACUACGGUGCUGAAGCAACAAAUGCCCUGCUUCCAGGAAAAG
rnacentral:rRNA from 1 species